UGGGGAAUAUUGCACAAUGGAGGGAACUCUGAUGCAGCGACGCCGCGUGAGUGAUGAAGGAAUUCGUUUCGUAAAACUCUGUUCUAUGGGAAGAAAAGGACUGUACCAUAGGAGAAAGCUCCGGCUAAAUACGUGCCAGCAGCCGCGGUAAUACGUAUGGAGCGAGCGUUGUCCGGAAUUAUUGGGCGUAAAGGGUGCGCAGGCGGCUUUACAAGUUGGAUGUGAAAUAUUGUGGCUCAACCACAAACGUGCAUCAAAAACUGCAAAGCUUGAGUUAAGGAGAGGUAAGUGGAAUUCCGGGUGUAGCGGUCGAAUGCGUAGAUAUCAGGAGGAAUACCGGUGGCGAAGGCGACUUACUGGACUUAAACUGACGCUCAGGCACGAAAGCGUGGGGAGCAAACAGGA
rnacentral:rRNA from 1 species